rnacentral:rRNA from 1 species
AUGCAAUACUUGGUUGCAAGUGUCGAGGGAUCCAUCUUUGGAGGUGAUCAAAGUAGAGAUGCUUAUUGGGGGCGGAUGAAAGAACACUUUGAUGUUCACAACGUGAGUGGAAUUGACCGCUCCGUUAGAUCACUUCGGUCCCGAUGGUCGACAAUCAACUCGGAUUGUCAAAGGUGGGCGGCCUGUCAAAAGGCGGUUGACAAGUUGAACCCAAGUGGCACAAAUGAGGAUGAUAGAGUAAGUGAGGAGAGGAAAACCAACAAGGGGAAGAUCAAGAAAGGAAGGGUCUUUGCCUUGCCUCAUUGCUAUAAAGUGUUGAAGGAUGAUGGGAAAUGGAAGAAGCGUGGAGAUUUGGAUGAUUUGCAUUUGAGAAACAAACGCAAGAGAACAAUUGAGUUGAAUGAUGAUGAGGAUGAGGAGGAUGAUGCAUCAAGUGAUGACGGCAAGAGAAGCCCCACACCCAACUCGGUUUCAUACUCGAAGCCAAAACGACCGGAUGGGUGCAAGAAAGACAAAACAGAAAAGAAGAAGAGGAAAAGAGAUGAUGAGCUCAAAAAUGCUAUGGAAACUAUUAUGAAGGCAAGAAAAGAAGCCAACGAGGUAAGGAAAAUGGCAAGGAACCAAGAUGCCACGGCCAAGGAGAGGAGUGGAGGAGAGGAAGGUGAGCAAUGA